UAUUAGAAAGAAUACCAAUUGCGAAGGCAGCUUUCUGGAUCAUUACUGACACUGAGGAACGAAAGCAUGGGUAGCGAAGAGGAUUAGAUACCCUCGUAGUCCAUGCCGUAAACGAUGUGUGUUAGACGUUGGAAAUUUAUUUUCAGUGUCGCAGCGAAAGCGAUAAACACACCGCCUGGGGAGUACGACCGCAAGGUUAAAACUCAAAUGAAUUGACGGGGACCCGCACAAGUAGUGGAGCAUGUGGUUUAAUUCGAAGAUACGCGCAGAACCUUACCAACACUUGACAUGUUCGUCGCGACUCUGAGAGAUUAGAGUUUUCGGUUCGGCCGGACGAAACACAGGUGCUGCAUGGCUGUCGUCAGCUCGUGUCGUGAGAUGUUGGGUUAAGUCCCGCAACGAGCGCAACCCUCACUUUUAGUUGCCAUCAUUAAGUUGGGCACUCUGAAAGAACUGCCAGUGAUAAGCUGGAGGAAGGUGGGGAUGACGUCAAGUCCUCAUGGCCCUUACGUGUUGGGCUACACACGUGCUACAAUGGUAUCUACAACAGGAAGCAAGACUGCGAGGUCAAGCAAAUCCUUAAAAGAUACCUCAGUUCGGAUUGCACUCUGCAACUCGAGUGCAUGAAGCUGGAAUUACUAGUAAUCGUGGAUCAGCGUGCCAUGGUGAAUGCGUUCCCGGGCCUUGUACACACCGCCCA
rnacentral:rRNA from 1 species